CUCACACCCAGACCUGGCAAGCAUUCCUCACAAGCAGAUGUGUCCUUUGAUCCCAUAGGGCAGGGUAGAGGAGAGAGUGUGGCUUGUGGCUUGGGGCAAUCUGUCACUCUAUGUCUGCAUCAACUCAGAGCUUGAGUGUUAUUAAUAGUGGGCCAGAAGAAUUUCCUUUGAAUAAAGUGAAUGAGGAGUAGGUAAAAUGGGCUUAGUGCCACUUAUAAAUGAUAAUGGUAAAAUACUACAAAAGAAUCUUAAAGUAAUUUUGAUAGUGAUUUUUUUUUUUUUCUUUUUGAGACAGAGUCUCACUCUGUCGCCCAGGCUGGAGUGCAGUGGCGUGAUCUCGGCUCACUGCAACUUCUGUGUCCCAGGUUCAAGUGAUUCUUCUGCCUCAGCCUCCCGAGUAGCUGGGACUACAGGCAUGUGCCACCACAUCCGGCUAAUUUUUGUAUUUUUAGUAAAGACGGGGUUUCACCAUAUUGGCCAGGCUGGUCUCAAACUCCUGACCUUGUGAUCCGCCCUCUUCGGCCUCCCGAAGUGCUGGGAUGACAGGCAUGAGCCACAGCGCCCAGCCCAUUCUUUUAACACAUAACAUUUCCUUCCAUUCUUCAUUAAAGGUAUUGCUAAGAUACCAAAAAGUUUUUUUCUUAAGGUUUUUAUGUUAUUUUGUCUUCUCCAUAAUACCUUCCUUGAUUCAGUUUUAGAAGAAGCUAUGGGAACCAAAACCGAAAGUGUGACCUCUGAGAAUACUCCAUGCAAAACAAAGAUGCUGAAAGAAGCCCACAUAGAACUGCUUAGGGACAGCACCACUGACUCCAAAGAAAAUCCCAGCAGAAAGAGAAAUGGAAUGUGCACGGAUACACAUUCACUGCUCAGUAAGAGGCUCAAGACAUGACUGAUUUGCAUUUUAAAGCAAGAUGCGAUGUCCAGAGUUACAGAGAAUGAGUAGAUGUGUCUCAUCGGUUAAUAGCUCUAUUAUACCUCUAAAGGUGGAAUUGUCAGUUUAGAUUCAUAAAUGAAAAGGUAAAUGAGUAAUCAGAAUAAACCAAGUGAUAAUCAAACCAUGUCAAGAUUAUUAGUUCAGACUCUAGCCUGUUAAUUUUCUUAGUUGAUUUCUGAAGCUACCUGAUUUAUUCUAUUAAAUUGUAAGCUUGCAAACUCAAAAUAAAUUGGCAGAUUUACCUCUCAUGUUUUAAUGUGUCAAAUUAGAGAGCAAAGUAUAACAGGUGCCUUCACUUUUGAGACUUAGUGCCUUAAAAUAUGUAUUCUAUAAUGAUUUCAUAUAUAAAAGUAUAUUUAUUGACUGUAAU
rnacentral:lncRNA from 10 species